rnacentral:lncRNA from 1 species
UUUGUUAAGGGAUAUUUCUCAGGAUUAUGUAUUUGGGGCUUGGGUGAGAGAAAAUUAUUUCUGAGAGUGGCUGUAAUAAUUUUCCACAUAGUGAAUAUUUUUCUCUGGUUGUUUUGUGACAACGGCUGUGGUUUUUCUCCGGAUUUAGAGUUUUCCACGUAAAUCUUGUGUUGUGUGAUUGGAGUAUUCUCCAUUUAAUUUUUCCUAUUAAUUUGUUGCUUGAUAAAUUGCUUGGAGUGAUCUUGGGAGGAAGCUCAAUUUCCUAACAGUGGUAUCAGAGCCAUUGAUUGAAGUUUUGGUGUCGGGGUACUAUUCACGUAUACGGUAUUGUUCACGUGAAGCAGUGGGAGCCAAUCCAAAUAAUCUGUGGUGAAGAGAAUAGGAAGCAAAUAUGUCAGCAGCUGGUGUUUUUCAAACUUGGUUGAAGUUUGAUGUUGUUAAAAAAUUAAUGGGAGAAUGAUUUUAUUGGCUUGUGGAGAAUUCAAGUCAAAGGUGUAUCCAAUCUGGUAUGCACAAAGAUUUGAAGGUGUGGACAAUUUUGGCACCUUAAGAAAAUUGUCAAGAAGGUGGAGUGGGCUCGGCAAAUUACUCCAGAAUCAGUAAAGGAGACACUGAUAUUCUCGCAGAUGGUGAGUUUCCUUUUGUUAGGAGACUUGGUUAGUUCUUUUGGCAUGUAGAUCUCCAAGUUGCCAUGAAAGAGAACAUGUUAUGAUCAGCGGGGUCCACAAGUUUGCAUGCGGGCAUUGGCUUGGUAUAAAUGCAAGGUGUGUGGUGGAAAAGUUAUGUCAUAGCUGAAGAAUUCUCAGGGAAAUCAAGCAUGAGAAUUGCACCAUAAAUUUCAGCAGGAUAUUUUGACAUGUACCGAG